GAUGAACGCUGGCGGCGUGCCUAAUACAUGCAAGUCGAGCGAACAGAUGAGGAGCUUGCUCCUCUGACGUUAGCGGCGGACGGGUGAGUAACACGUGGAUAACCUACCUAUAAGACUGGGAUAACUUCGGGAAACCGGAGCUAAUACCGGAUAAUAUAUUGAACCGCAUGGUUCAAUAGUGAAAGACGGUUUUGCUGUCACUAAUAGAUGGAUCCGCGCCGCAUUAGCUAAUUGGUAAGGUAACGGCUUACCAAGGCAACGAUGCGUAGCCGACCUGGGAGGGUGAUCGGCCACACUGGAACUGAGACACGGUCCAGACUCCUACGGGAGGCAGCAGUAGGGAAUCUUCCGCAAUGGGCGAAAGCCUGACGGAGCAACGCCGCGUGAGUGAUGAAGGUCUUCGGAUCGUAAAACUCUGUUAUUAGGGAAGAACAAAUGUGUAAGUAACUAUGCACGUCUUGACGGUACCUAAUCAGAAAGCCACGGCUAACUACGUG
rnacentral:rRNA from 1 species